UACGGGGGGGGCAAGCGUUGUUCGGAAUCACUGGGCGUAAAGCGCACGUAGGCGGCUUUUUAAGUCAGGGGUGAAAUCCUGGAGCUCAACUCCAGAACUGCCUUUGAUACUGAAGAUCUCGAGUCCGGGAGAGGUGAGUGGAACUGCGAGUGUAGAGGUGAAAUUCGUAGAUAUUCGCAAGAACACCAGUGGCGAAGGCGGCUCACUGGCCCGGUACUGACGCUGAGGCACGAAAGCGUGGGGAGCAAACAGG
rnacentral:rRNA from 1 species